GGCUCAAAAGAGGAAGUUGGGGUUGCUAGAUAAUGAUAAUAUGGUUUCUGCACAUCAAAGUUUAGGAGAGAUCAAAGAUGGAGAUAACUCUGGGCCUGCCCGGAAUCGUGAUAACUCAGACAGGGUUUUCUACAAGGAAUUGGUCAAAGUUAUUGAGGCAUCAGAUGUAAUUUUAGAAGUUUUGGAUGCACGAGAUCCCCUUGGCACCCGCUGUGUUGAUAUGGAGAAGAUGGUGAUGAAAGCGGGUCCUAAUAAGCAUCUUGUACUACUGCUGAAUAAAAUUGAUCUUGUCCCUCGA
rnacentral:misc_RNA from 1 species